rnacentral:misc_RNA from 1 species
UGUUCACUCGUGGUUCUUGUGUUGCCUACCCGUUUAGCGGUAUUCAUGUGCCUCUUAAGACCCGUUCAAUCCAGACCCCUUGUAGGGAGUGCUGGUGAGUUCGAAAGUGAUGCAUGUUUUGCGUUAGCUGUGCAUUGUAACGGCUGGCGUGCUAACAUGUGUCUACUGUUCCCUCGGAUGCGGUGCAUGCGGUGAACGUGGGCUGAUGAUUGUGCCCCGUUGAGUCCCUUUUAAUUAUCGGUUGCCUUGAAUGACACUUUGUCGUAGUGCUAGUGUUGCUUUACCAUUCGUGGUGUCAGCAUUAGUACGUCGAGCAGAGUCGUUGAUGGAUGCUACCUGGUUGAUCCUGCCAGAAAUCAUAUGCU